rnacentral:rRNA from 1 species
GAUGAACGCUGGCGGCGUGCCUAAUACAUGCAAGUCGAGCGAACAGAUACGGAGCUUGCUCCUUUGACGUUAGCGGCGGACGGGUGAGUAACACGUGGGUAACCUACCUAUAAGACUGGAAUAACUCCGGGAAACCGGGGCUAAUGCCGGAUAACAUUUAGAACCGCAUGGUUCUAAAGUGAAAGAUGGUUUUACUAUCACUUAUAGAUGGACCCGCGCCGUAUUAGCUAGUUGGUAAGGUAACGGCUUACCAAGGCAACGAUACGUAGCCGACCUGAGAGGGUGAUCGGCCACACUGGAACUGAGACACGGUCCAGACUCCUACGGGAGGCAGCAGUAGGGAAUCUUCCGCAAUGGGCGAAAGCCUGACGGAGCAACGCCGCGUGAGUGAUGAAGGUCUUCGGAUCGUAAAACUCUGUUAUUAGGGAAGAACAAAUGUGUAAGUAACUGUGCACGUCUUGACGGUACCUAAUCAGAAAGCCACGGCUAACUACGUG